AUGAACAGAAACCGCAGCCGAAGAAGCAAAAGAAAGGCUGCACGAUUAGCAAAAGUCAAAGAACACUUUGCUAAGAGGGAAGAAGAACAGAAACAAGGGACCAAGACCAAAGAAAGUGAAGGUACAGCAGACACCAGCAUGCAGGAACAUUCAUCAUUGCUGAAGAAGACACCAUGCAGUUCCCUGUCACAACAAACUGCUCAAGCCCCAGCGUGUAACCAAAUAUCACCCUCUCCAGCAGAGUAUAGUGGAGAUUCCACUGACAUCGUCAAACAAGAUAUAACACAAGAUGAAGAAGACAACAUAAUCCACUCCAAGACUAAUUUAUCCACAGCAAACACAAAUUUACCCCUGGAAGACUCCAUCAGUUGUGAUGAAUCAAUCGCGUGCUUGGCUUCUGAGGUCUUGGAAGACAUCCAACAAAGCGAGUGCAUUACUGACCAAACGGUUUCAAUCAAUCAGGCUGAUCCUGUAUGUCAAAAUCCUGACUUGUCUAAUAGCAAGAAUGUUGAAAAAGCAUGGAAGGAAUUUGAGAAGGAUGCUAAGCAAAGAAUUAAAAGUUUGGCACUAAGCUCUCAUGAGGACAUGAAUAUUAGCGAUGGGAAACCAAAAGAGGAUGCGAGUUUGAAAACUAAUUCAGAGCCUCAGCUGUGCUCCCAUGGCUUCACAUUUGGGACCAUUGUAGCCCCACUUUAUCAUCAGGUUUUUAAAAACAUGGAAACAGAGAGAAAAAAACUCUUUCCGAAAGCUUUAGAUAGGUCAUUUAGGAAACUAGAGGAUGAGAGUCGAAGAGCGGUCACAGCCCCUGAGACCACCGACAUUUGGCCAGAGUCUUGCAUAUCUACAAAACAGACAGUAGAUGAUAUUAAUGUUGGCAUCUGCAAAGAAUCAACAGAACAGAACUCACAACUUACAGUAAACCCAACCAAAAAACCUCUUCUGGAGCCAGAUGAGAGUAAACAUGUUAAAAACACAGAAGCGUCUUACAAUCAAAAUGAUUGUACCAGUAGUAUUGGAGAACACCCAAGAGACGUCACAUUUACCGAAACAAACCCUACAAAAGUUACAUCCAGGCAGCCAGAUCCUCCACUAGGAGAAGUUUCAACAGUGUGCACACUCACAGUCACACUAGCUUUGACUGAAUGCUCUAUCCAGGAUGAUCCUUGCCAAAGUCUGGAAAACUUAUUUCCUCAACAAGGACCAGAACUUACAAAUCAAACAAUAGAGUCAGCUACUGACAGCCUACCUGAACAGAUUCAUCCAUCAUCACCCACAGCAGUUUUGGAAACUUCAUCAUGUUUGGAUGAUCAGAGGGCUUGUAUAAAAACUGAAAAGUCACAGAAUCAGGAGGACCCUACAAUUAUCCACACCAAAGAGGAGAAUAUAUCCGAGCAAGCAGAAUAUUCAAUCAACACUUCUUGCUUUCUAGCCCAAGGUCCAGAGGACCCCACAAGAAGCACUCUGAGUUACUCUGAGCCUGACUGCUGUGAAAUGAGAUUGAGCAUUGAAAACCUUAAAGAACCCUCUCACUUAGCAAUAGCAAAAGCUAUGCCAAUAGAACCAUAUACACAACUGGAGAACACACAUAUGAGCAAUACUUUGGAGAGCUACCAGAUGAAUGAAAAGGAGGAACAAAUACUCAUGGGUUUUUCUACACAGACUUCAGAGACAGAGAGCUCCAACAUUAUUCAUUUUGAAGCAGAACAUAACACAUCAGUGAUUAAAGAGAUGGAAGAAAUUCACAAAAUGAAAAAUGCUGAAAGCCUGGAAGAGCAAGUAGAGGGAAAUGGAAAUCAUAUUAAGCAGAUGGAGAAGCAGAAACAAGACAACAAGGAGAAAGACCAAGAACCAGAAGAACAAGAAGGCGCAAUAGAAAAACAUGAAAGUAAUGGAGGAAUAAAUAGCAUUGAAGAUGAGUUGAAAUACAUAGAUGAUGAAGAGGACUUGGAUGCAAUGGCAUCUGAGAAAGAAGAGAAACAACAAGCAGAUGAAGAUGAUCUGCUUUCUCUUGAACAAGAUUCAGAGGAACAGAAGCAGAUCAUUAGUACCAGCACUGUUGAAUCAUUACCACAUCGUAUUGACUUAAAAGAUACAGAGUACUCUGAAAAAGAGCACAUUCAUGUCAACCUUGGUUUAGAGAUCUGUGAGGAAACUGCUGCAUCUUGGCGAGAAUCAUCUCAAAAGAGUGAUAUGGAACUCAGUGGAAGUAUGCAAGCUAUGGAGAAUGAUUGGAACCGUUUUGAAUUUAUUGAUAAAGAAGAGAAUGUGUCCUAUGAAGGUAUGAAAAGUGACUGGAAAACUCUUGAUGAUGUAAACAAUAUGCUGGAAAACAUGGAAAGCCUGGCGAAAGACAGAGAUCUUGAAAACGUUGAAGACAACACCUCGACAGAAUCGCAGACAGAUGACGAGAUGGAGCUGUACCUGAACAGUCUGAAGAAUUCACAACAGUCAGUAUUCAGAGAAAGUGCAAUGAGUGGGAGCUACUGCAAAAGACCCUCCUUGAGCAGAGGGAGGCCGUUAGCUAUGCCUUCAAUCUCUGAGUCUAUGGACGAGGACCAGCUGAAUAGUUCCCUAGAGGAUUCAACAAAUAUGGAGUACAACAUGGAUCUGGAGAGAGCUACACUGCCCCUAGUGGAUGGGAAUGAACAUGUCAUUGGAUGUAAUGUCUUGUGGUGGAAAGAGUUUCUGUCCUAUGACAAUAUGUUAAGGAUGACUGGAUACACAUUUUUGUUGAUAGUGUUUUUAGUCGCAGCAUAUUAUUACGACUUCAUUGCAUGUUUUGCUCUGUAUAUUAUAACAGUGUAUUGGCUGUUUCGUCAAGGAGAGGAAGAACCACUGAAAACUUCUCGGAAAGGUGAAAGAGGAUUGCAGUAA
ensembl:lncRNA